UUAAUAUAUAUUUACUUUAAAUUUUUAUUUAUAAAAAUAUUUUAUAAAAAACAUUUUAUUGUUGUUGUAUUUGUUAUGGAUCUAAUUAACUUGAGUUAUAAUUAAUCAGUACUGUGAAGGAAAAAAAAGAAGAAUAAAAUUUAUUAUUUUAUAAGUUGAAUUUAUUUUUUGUACCUUGUGUAUCAGGGUUAAUUAAUUAAUUAUUAUACAUAUUGAUUUUCUCGAUUUUUUUAGAGUUAAUAAAUUAUUAUAAUUAUUGUUAAAGAACUAUUUUAAAUAAUUUAUUGGUAAUGAAAUGUUAAUCGUUAAUAAGGAUAUCUAGUUUUUUGGGAAAUAAAUUUAAUUUAAAUUCUUUCUUUAAUAAUUUUCUUUAAAAUUGUUUUUAAGAUAGAAUUAAUAAUAAAGGGGAUAAGCUCUUUAUUAAAUAUUUAUAGGAAAAUAGAAUUAUAAAGUAAUGUGGAUUUAAUAAUGAUUAUUAUUAUAAAUAUAUUAAAAUUUUACUUUUAUAUUUAUUGAUUUAAUUUUCUUUAAAAUUUUACUAAAAUUAUUUAAUUAAUAAUUUAUUAAUAGAAAUUAUGAUUAAAUUAGUAUAAAUAAUAUUAUUUAAAUUUUUGUUUUGUAAAGUUAAUUUGAGGAAUUAGGCAAAAUUAUUAUUCGCCUGUUUAACAAAAACAUCUCUUCUUGUUAAAAUAUGAAGUAUAACCUGCCCAAUGAUAAUUUUAAUGGCCGCGGUAUAUUGACCGUGCAAAGGUAGCAUAAUCAUUAGUCUUUUAAUUGAAGGCUGGAAUGAAUGGUUGGACGAGAUAAUAACUAUCUUAAUUUUAUUAAUUUUGAAUUUAAUUUUUGAGUUAAAAAGCUUAAAUAUUUUUUUGGGACGAGAAGACCCUAUAGAAUUUAUAUAUAUUUAUAAUAAUUUAAUUUAGUUUGUUAAUAAAUUAAUUAUUGUAAAUAUUUUGUUGGGGUGAUGAGAAGAUAAAAUUAACUCUUUUUAAUUAAUUUAUUAUAAAUUUAUAUUGAGUUUGAUCCACUAUUAGUGAUUAUAAGACUAAAUUACCUUAGGGAUAACAGCGUAAUUUUUUUUGAGAGUUCAUAUCGACAAAAAGGAUUGCGACCUCGAUGUUGGAUUAAGAUUAUCUUUAGGUGUAGAAGCUUAAAAAUUAGGUCUGUUCGACCUUUAAAAUCUUACAUGAUCUGAGUUCAAACCGGCGUGAGCCAGGUUGGUUUCUAUCUAAUAAUAAUUUAAAUACUUUAGUACGAAAGGACCAAGUAUUUAAAAUAAUUUUUAUAUAUUGAUUAUUAAUAAUAUU
rnacentral:rRNA from 1 species